AACACAGGGUAUGUAGGCUCCUGAGUCAUA
rnacentral:piRNA from 1 species